rnacentral:rRNA from 1 species
GACGAACGCUGGCGGCGUGCCUAAUACAUGCAAGUAGAACGCUGAAGGAGGAGCUUGCUCUUCUGGAUGAGUUGCGAACGGGUGAGUAACGCGUAGGUAACCUGCCUGGUAGCGGGGGAUAACUAUUGGAAACGAUAGCUAAUACCGCAUAAGAGUAGAUGUUGCAUGACAUUUGCUUAAAAGGUGCAAUUGCAUCACUACCAGAUGGACCUGCGUUGUAUUAGCUAGUUGGUGGGGUAACGGCUCACCAAGGCGACGAUACAUAGCCGACCUGAGAGGGUGAUCGGCCACACUGGGACUGAGACACGGCCCAGACUCCUACGGGAGGCAGCAGUAGGGAAUCUUCGGCAAUGGACGGAAGUCUGACCGAGCAACGCCGCGUGAGUGAAGAAGGUUUUCGGAUCGUAAAGCUCUGUUGUAAGAGAAGAACGAGUGUGAGAGUGGAAAGUUCACACUGUGACGGUAUCUUACCAGAAAGGGACGGCUAACUACGUGCCAGCAGCCGCGGUAAUACGUAGGUCCCGAGCGUUGUCCGGAUUUAUUGGGCGUAAAGCGAGCGCAGGCGGUUAGAUAAGUCUGAAGUUAAAGGCUGUGGCUUAACCAUAGUACGCUUUGGAAACUGUUUAACUUGAGUGCAAGAGGGGAGAGUGGAAUUCCAUGUGUAGCGGUGAAAUGCGUAGAUAUAUGGAGGAACACCGGUGGCGAAAGCGGCUCUCUGGCUUGUAACUGACGCUGAGGCUCGAAAGCGUGGGGAGCAAACAGG